UGCAAGUCGAACGAGAAGUACAGUAGCAAUACUGUAUUGUAAAGUGGCGCACGGGUGAGUAACACGUGGGUAAUCUGCCCUUGAGUUUGGGAUAACCCCGCGAAAGCGGGGCUAAUACCGGAUAAGACCACGGGGACCAAAGUCUCUGAGGUAAAAGGUGGCCUCUAUUUAUAAGCUACCACUUGAGGAUGUGCCCGCGGCCCAUUAGCUAGUUGGCAGGGAAACGGCCUACCAAGGCAAUGAUGGGUAGCUGGUCUGAGAGGACGAUCAGCCACACUGGAACUGAGACACGGUCCAGACUCCUACGGGAGGCAGCAGUGGGGAAUAUUGCGCAAUGGGCGAAAGCCUGACGCAGCAACGCCGCGUGGGGGAUGAAGGUUCUCGGAUUGUAAACCCCUUUCGAUCGGAACGAAUCCCCUCCUGGUAAACAAUCAGGAGGAUCGACGGUACCGAGAGAAGAAGCCACGGCUAACUCUGUGCCAGCAGCCGCGGUAAGACAGAGGUGGCUAGCGUUGUUCGGAUUUAUUGGGCGUAAAGCGCACGCAGGCGGUUUGGUAAGUCAGAGGUGAAAGCCCACGGCUUAACCGUGGCAUUGCCUUUGAUACUGCCUUUCUUGAGUAGAGUAGGGGGAAGCGGAAUUCCGAGUGUAGAGGUGAAAUUCGUAGAUAUUCGGAGGA
rnacentral:rRNA from 1 species